GACGAACGCUGGCGGCGUGCUUAACACAUGCAAGUCGAACGGAAAGGCCCUGCUUUUGUGGUGUGCUCGAGUGGCGAACGGGUGAGUAACACGUGAGUAACCUGCCCUUGACUUUGGGAUAACUUCAGGAAACUGGGGCUACUACCGGAUAGGAGCUCCUGCUGCAUGGUGGGGGUUGGAAAUUUUCGGCGGUUGGGGAUGGACUCGCGGCUUAUCAGCUUGUUGGUGGGGUAGUGGCUUACCAAGGCUUUGACGGGUAGCCGGCCUGAGAGGGUGACCGGCCACAUGGGGACUGAGAGACGGACCAGACUCCAACGGGAGGCAGCAGUGGGGAAUAUGGCACAAUGGGCGGAAGCCUGAUGCAGAAACGCCGCGUGCGGGAUGACGGCCUUCGGGUUGUAAACCGCUUUCGCCUGUGACGAAGCGUGAGUGACGGUAAUGGGUAAAGAAGCACCGGCUAACUACGUG
rnacentral:rRNA from 1 species